rnacentral:ncRNA from 1 species
AUUGAAGCUGUGAAAAAGAGUAGUAGCAAUUGUUUGGCACUUCAGAGAGCUAGCGGCUGGUGAGAGCUAGUGUGACGCAUUGUGAAUGGACUUUUGAGCUCCUUAGCGGAUAAUGCUAAGGCGGAGUAGCGGACGUUACAUGCGCUAGUAGAGGAUUACAAUUUGUAAUCAAUAAAGGUGGCACCACGGUCUCUCGUCCUUUUU